GACGUAGGGCGCGAGCGUUGUCCGGAUUUAUUGGGCGUAAAGCGCUCGUAGGCGGCUUGUCGCGUCGUCUGUGAAAUCCCACGGCUCAACUGUGGGCUUGCAGUCGAUACGGGCAGGCUGGAGUUCGGUAGGGGAGACUGGAAUUCCUGGUGUAGCGGUGAAAUGCGCAGAUAUCAGGAGGAACACCGGUGGCGAAGGCGGGUCUCUGGGCCGAUACUGACGCUGAGGAGCGAAAGCGUGGGGAGCGAACAGG
rnacentral:rRNA from 1 species